rnacentral:lncRNA from 1 species
UGUUGGAAAAAAAUCUAGGUUUCCUUUAAUCGCACAUCACAUACGGUAACAUCAUUUACAAAUAGGAAGUACAUCGCCCUAUUGAGAUAAUGGGUAUUCUAAGGCGACAAUGAGGAUCUUCGUCGAGUUGAUGAGUUCUGAGGCGAUGAAGAAGGUACCAUCAUCAAUCUGCAAGAUGAAGUACCUUCAGUUCCCAUUGAAUUGAAUCGUUCUAUGGAAGUCGUAUGCAAUACUGAAUUGGAGCAUCUUAAGGACCUGACUAUUAUUAUGCAAGAGUUAGAAAUCACCUAUAAUCCAGCAAAAUCAAUGUAAAUUAUACCCCAUAAAUGUAAAAUUGUUCAAGUUUGAAGGGAACAAAAGAAUUCCUAUUAGUGUAUGGUAAAAUUAGAAAUCUAAGGGAUUGUGGCUAGAAGUAGGUGCGGAUUGAGUAAAAUCGGAGGUAUCUAGUGGUUGCCAUGAAGUAGCGCCGUCCUAAAUUUGGAUAGUUGUUGCCAACCACACCUACGGCAUAAACAAAUGUCCAUUCAGUGACGAAACAAAUGAACCACAAAAAAUUCAAACCGAAUCAACUCAUAAGUACCAAAUAUAUACAGAGAUCUAAACGCCAAAAGCUGAUACAGAUAAGAAAUGAAUAUCGAUAAUCGUACAUUCAAAAUACAUGCAAUGGUAUGAAUCGCUUACCUAUCACAAUCAGACUCGCUCGGUUAACAUAGAUUAGAUUCAGUGGAAAACGCAAAUAACCAUUUGUGGAAAAGGAAGACCAAAUAAAGCGCAAUCCAAUCGCCACGCUAUGUGACACGCGUAACAACCAACACACUUUACAAACUCUA